rnacentral:rRNA from 1 species
ACGCACGCUGGCGGCAUGCCUAACACAUGCAAGUCGCACGAGACCUUCGGGUCUAGUGGCGCACGGGUGCGUAACGCGUGGGAACCUGCCCUUAGGUUCGGAAUAACUCCCCGAAAGGGGUGCUAAUACCGGAUAAUGUCUUCGGACCAAAGAUUUAUCGCCUUUGGAUGGGCCCGCGUUGGAUUAGCUAGUUGGUAGGGUAAAAGCCUACCAAGGCGACGAUCCAUAGCUGGUCUGAGAGGAUGAUCAGCCACACUGGGACUGAGACACGGCCCAGACUCCUACGGGAGGCAGCAGUGGGGAAUAUUGGACAAUGGGCGAAAGCCUGAUCCAGCAAUGCCGCGUGAGUGAUGAAGGCCUUAGGGUUGUAAAGCUCUUUUACCCGGGAUGAUAAUGACAGUACCGGGAGAAUAAGCUCCGGCUAACUCCGUG